rnacentral:rRNA from 1 species
UACGGAGGGCGCAAGCGUUGUUCGGACUCACUGGGCGUAAAGCGCGUGUCGGCGGCUUGGCAAGUCGGGUGUGAAAGCCCGGGGCCUAACCCCGGAACUGCAUUCGAAACUGCCUCGCUCGAGUCCCGGAGAGGAUGGUGGAAUUCCCGGUGUAGUGGUGAAAUACGUAGAUAUCGGGAGGAACACCAGCGGCGAAGGCGGCCAUCUGGACGGUGACUGACGCUGAGACGCGAAAGCGUGGGGAGCAAAUAGG